GAUGAACGCUGGCGGCGUGCCUAAUACAUGCAAGUCGGACGGGGAUAGCAAUAUCCAAGUGGCGACCGGGUGCGUAACACGUAGCUGACCUACCCUUCAGCGGGGGACAACAUGGAGAAAUCCGUGCUAAUACCGCAUGGACUUGGGAUGACCAAAGAAUUCCAAGGAAACGCGUAAGCGGCUGAAGGCGGGGGCUGCGGCCCAUCAGGUAGUUGGUAAGGUAAGAGCUUACCAAGCCAAUGACGGGUAGGGGGCCUGAGAGGGUGGUCCCCCACACUGGGACUGAAAGACGGCCCAGACUCCUACGGGAGGCAGCAGUAAGGGAUAUUGGGCAAUGGGCGAAAGCCUGACCCAGCAACGCCGCGUGCAGGAUGACGGCCUUCGGGUUGUAAACUGCUUUGGCGUGGGACGAGGAAGGACGGUACCACGCGAACAAGUCACGGCUAACUACGUGCCAGCAGCCGCGGUAAAACGUAGGUGGCAAGCGUUAUCCGGAUUUACUGGGCGUAAAGCGUGUGCAGGUGGGGAAACAAGUGGUGUAUGAAAUCGCUCGGCUCAACCGGGCGGGGUUAUGCCAGACUGUUUCGCUAGAGGCUGGAAGAGGGACAUGGAAUUCCGGGUGUAGUGGUGAAAUGCGUAGAGAUCCGGAGGAACUCCAGAGGCGAAGGCGGUGUCCUGGACCAGACCUGACACUCAGACACGAGAGCAUGGGGAGCGAACGGGAUUAGAAACCCCGGUAGUCCAUGCCGUAAACGAUGCGGACUAGGCGUGGGGGGACUCAACCCCUUCCGUGCCGAAGGGAACCCGAUAAGUCCGCCGCCUGGGGAGUACGACCGCAAGGUUA
rnacentral:rRNA from 1 species